UACGUAGGGUGCGAGCGUUAAUCGGAAUUACUGGGCGUAAAGCGUGCGCAGGCGGCUUCGCAAGUCAGACGUGAAAUCCCCGGGCUUAACCUGGGAAUGGCGUUUGAAACUACGGAGCUGGAGUGUGGCAGAGGGAGGUAGAAUUCCACGUGUAGCGGUGAAAUGCGUAGAGAUGUGGAGGAACACCAAUGGCGAAGGCAGCCUUCUGGGCCAACACUGACGCUCAUGCACGAAAGCGUGGGGAGCAAACAGG
rnacentral:rRNA from 1 species